GGAAUGAGUGUCAUCGCAAGCUAGGGGGAAGAUGCCAAACCCUGCUUCAGGGUCAUCACAUGGUUUGUCACCAUUAAUAUUCACUUUAAAGAAUAGUGGAAAAGUCUUCAACACAACAAUGCAAAUUGUGGUGUUACUUCACAGAAGAAAUCAGGGAAGAGCAGGAACCAGGAGCAGCCCAUCUCCCCUAUUCUUGAAACUGCUAAAAUACCGUGAUAUUUAUUCUCAACAAAGGCAGAAAGACAGAUAGAAUUGAAAAGAUCUUGGAAAUGAUUCACUUCCAUCUUCCAAUUCAUUAUUAAUUGACUGACCCUAGAAAGCAAUUCCAUAUGGUUCAAUAAUAUCCUCUCUCUUUCUUCUGGCUGUCACUCUGGCAUUCACCAUAUACAAAAAAGCAAAGAAAAUGCUACUUUAUGGAACUUGAGUCAGUUCUCAUCACAUCAGAAUUAAUCCUAUUUUGCAUUGGAGGACCAUAACCUCUUCUGAAUCCUCUCACUUUUAUUCAUCUGAAUCCUAUGCAUAUCUCUGGUUUUUUCUCUACCAGAUGUUAUUGUGUGGUAUCAAUUGCCUUACACUGAGGCAGGCCUUUAGUCCACCCUCAUAGCAGUUUUCCAAAACUUUCCACAGAAGUUUUGUCCACCUGUUAUUAAAGAUGUAAAGGAUUGAA